AAAGUUUUCAAUCCUCUCUAUUUUUCCCAAUUCAUCUAAGAGUCAAGGGCAAAUUGGACCAAUCACUAGUCAUACCAUAAGUUGGGGUUAGGUGGAACCAAACCCUUGUCCCCAAAGUCCAAACAUAUGCUUGGAACACAAUAAAAGGAGGCCACCAACCCUUCCAUUGACUUGCCAAAAAGUCUAUUUUCUUACAAAAA
rnacentral:lncRNA from 1 species